CAGAAGCAAAAAACAAGCAGUCUGCUGACAUCAUCAGAAGUGGUGGCCUGAUCCAAUCACAAUGCUUCUCCAUAGGACUGGCUGAGACUGACAAGGAGGCAGAUCAGGAGCAGAGCCAGCAUGAUUCAAACACAGCCCUGGCCAAUCAGCAUCUCCUCAUAGAGAUGAAUUGAAUCAAUGAAUCUCUAUGAGGAAAGUUCAGUGUCUGCAUGCAGAGGGAGGAGACACUGAAU